GGAUUGUGGCUCAGUGGUAGAGCACUUGCUUAGCAUGUGCAAAGCACUGGGUUUGAUUCUCAGCACCA
rnacentral:tRNA from 1 species